ensembl:lncRNA
CCCCUUGAAGAAUCCACUCUAUCAACCUGCAACUUUCUGUCAAACAAUAUGAUGUAGCUCAUUUUUAACCGUCCGUUUUGUAGAAUCAUCAUGGAACCUCGUGCUUUCACAACAAUGCACAAAGGGGCCAAAACAGAGAAUGUGUGUCGCGCACUGCAGGCGCGCGGGAAUGAUAACGACAUAAUUGCUUUGGUAUACAAAAUACAAAAUGACAGGAUGGUACUGUUAAAAGCCAAGAGAAAAGAACAUGGACUAUCUGUAAUAUCAUGGCCUGCAAACUAUGGGCUAUGGCUGAUUUAUCGAAUGGACACCUGAGUUAGAACACCUGAUUUGUGGAGCUGUCACUGAUGAAAGGGAUUUUCUAGACAACUACUAAUACAACGGUUGCAGUCUAACUGUGCUCCAAAGACUCAUGGUUGGUUUAGAAGUGCCCGGUGCGGGUGCUCGGAGUUCCCCACGGAGGCGUGCGAUCUGGAAUGGUGCUAGGGUGGGAAAGUGACACCUCCUGCUAAAUAGCCUCGUUUUCCCCGGAUUUCCUGGCUCCAAAACCCAAUUACCAAGAUUGGGGUUGAUGAGGGGACAUUUUUGGAUGUAAAAGCGCGCACUGUCAUCGACUGAUGAGGGUUAUGGCUGAACUUUCCCACGAGAGCGGCUGAUUGAACGGCUCUCCACUCCGUAUGGAAGCGGGAAAACAUUCCGCAGAGCCGGAGAGAUCAUUUCCAUAAUUACCCCAGUCUAUCCGCAGCCCUAACGACCUUCUGCAACAAUAAAAAUAUAUCUAGUUAAUUCCAUCUUUGUCGCUGACAUUCAGGAGAUUCCUAUAUUUGACAUGUUUGAGGGGUUCGCAAAAUAACAAGUGCAGGCUACAUUCUCCCCGGUCUUUCACUCCAAAGAGCAGUCGAUUCAAUUAGCCCCGACAGUUCACAGACAGGGCCGGGGCUCCGGCUAUAGAUGGCGGGUGUAGCCUAUGAAAGUGAUCCACUUGUGCCUCUACAUCCACGCCUUGUCCCCUCUAUGCCCCAAAGUUGGAUAAUUUAUGGCCCUGGGAGAGAUUAUAAAGAUGGAUAUUCAAGGCAAUCAAUUUUCAUGUUGGGUUUAGAAUGGUGGGAUAGAAACGAAGUACGGAAUAAUUAAAAAGAUCACAAGUCCCUCUCGCAUGUAAUUAUGGUUAAGUCUCAAAUGGCACCUUAUUCCCUACUACACUUCUUUUAUCAGGGAACAUCGCUCUCUCGACCAAUGUAGUGAGUAGGGCGACGUUUGGGGACGCAAACUAGUGGUUUCACCAGUCAGUGGGCUGCGGGAGGACUGCCUUUGAUUCCGCGGAAUCAGCACCGUGGGUCCAGUCUAGUGUCCACCAACACAAUAAGGGUUUUCAGUUUCUAAAAAUGGGUUCUCUGUCACUGUGACUUUUGGGACUAUGUGGAUUGUGUACUUGCCUGCUACAAGAUCAUUGCCGAUAGCGUCGACUGUUGUCUGUUUAACAGAAAAGGUUACAUGGAUGAUCACAUUUGAAUUAACUAGUUGGCAAGAAAAGUGAGAGGCAGUUGGUUGUUUUGAAUUUUGAAUAUGUUACAGUGUGACUACAAUGUUCUGUGUGUUCGUGUUUCUGGACCAAAAUAAAGUAAUUCCUUUUUGCUUGUGAAUCGGUCUCAGGAUGUACUGUUAGUCUUCUCCGUGGGCAUUUCUAUAGUCUUGGUUAUUUU